AAAUGUAGUAGACUUAAAGUAUACAUGACACUUGUGAAGUAUACUAAGUACACUACGUUUUC
rnacentral:pre_miRNA from 1 species